CUUUUCCUACCAUGUCCUCCACGAGGCCACAUUCUAGCUGCUGGUGAGGGCAAAGAGAAUGGGCAAAGACAGGGACAGACAUGCGAGCACACGGCAGACAGGAAAUGGGAAGCACUGAUAGCUAGCGGGGAGGCAGACAGCAGGCUACGGGGUGGGAGGAAGACAGAGACAAAGAGACCUAGGGAAAAAAGAGACAAAAGAAAACCCAGAGACACAGAGGAAGAGCCCAGGAGCACAGGCCCAGGGUGGGCAGAGACCUGGGAGGUCACCUUUCCCGUGCUCAGGGGGCAGCAGGGCCAGCAGGCCUUGGUAUCCCCCCGGCUGUGGCCAUGGUAAUGAGAAAGUCGCAGAAGCCUCCGAGGGUGCCGGGGGACACUCUUCCCAAGCCUCACACUGACGGGAAGGCCACCAGAGGAGGGAACAAUGAUUGCCUGGAGUAAGAUGGGACUUGCCUCUGAGAAAUCCGACCUGCUGCUGUGGUGGGUGGCUUGACGCAGCCUGAGGACCUGGGACCUCCACUUUGUGACAGACACCCUGGGACCCACAGAGGGGCGGGAGCUGCCCUCCCAGCCUGGAAUCGCUGCCUCUGCUCGCCCUCCCUGCCUGGCUCUGGCCCUCUCCCUUCCACUCCAUGCCUGUGGAUGGGGCGCCCGGGGCACCAGGCCCUGUACCAGGUCUGGAGAUAUUAAGACAGGGAGGGGCAGGUAAAGUCUGGGGAGCCCAGGUUGGGAGGGAGACAUUGGGGUCCAGUGAUGAGCCACCAAGAGGCCUGAGCAAAGUCCAUGGGCACCUGGGGGCAGAGAUGCCAUCUGUGGUCUGGAGAAGCAGGGAGCCUUCUGGAGGAGCUAGCCUUGCGUACAGUUGCGGAGCAGCCGACCAGCCGCGCUCUGGAGCCCCGCCCCAGCAGUCAGGGGGCCUGAAGGACACGGGUCCCUCCCUCACCUGGGCUCCUGCAGCCCCGCCCACCGGCUCAUCUGGCUCCUCCCUGCUGCUCACAAGGCUCGGGCUCACCUGCUCUUACCAAACUCCCCCGGGGCAGCGGCACCUGGUGCCCCAGGACGCGUCCUCCGGGCCACCGUCAACAGGAGCGAUGGGCAGCUGCCAUCUCAGCAAUAGCCCCAGGGACGCUUCCUCGGCGGCCUGCAGGGGGGCCGCGAGCAUGUGCCAGCCGGAGCCUAAGACCCUAAUGCGCUUACUCCACUUCAUCCUCACCACAACCCCGGGGCGCUGGCGUGUCCCCCACUUGACGUAAGGGGAGCUGGGGAGAAUUUCUCCGCACGAAGGACCCAGAAGAGGCAACUGCAUGGAACGGGCCGCCCAGAGUGUUCCUUGGAGAAGCACCUGCCAGCGGAGGGCCCCGAUGACACUGGAUGGUAUAUUUAAGACCAAAGACGCAAACAUUGUCACACCCACUGGAUUGCAGACCCUGUGGAGGAGCUGAGGACAGACGCUGGACCACUUCACAAUCCAGUGGAGAGACAGACACGCCUGUAAACAAUGAAGCCCUGAGAGAAGGGCUGUGUCCAAACAUG